rnacentral:rRNA from 1 species
GAUGAACGCUAGCUACAGGCUUAACACAUGCAAGUCGAGGGGAAACGAUAUUGGAAGCUUGCUUCCGAUAGGCGUCGACCGGCGCACGGGUGAGUAACGCGUAUCCAACCUGCCCAUCACUUGGGGAUAACCUUGCGAAAGUAAGACUAAUACCCAAUGAUAUCUCUAGAAGACAUCUGAAAGAGAUUAAAGAUUUAUCGGUGAUGGAUGGGGAUGCGUCUGAUUAGCUUGUUGGUGGGGUAACGGCCCACCAAGGCGACGAUCAGUAGGGGUUCUGAGAGGAAGGUCCCCCACAUUGGAACUGAGACACGGUCCAAACUCCUACGGGAGGCAGCAGUGAGGAAUAUUGGUCAAUGGGCGAGAGCCUGAACCAGCCAAGUAGCGUGCAGGAUGACGGCCCUAUGGGUUGUAAACUGCUUUUAUAAGGGAAUAAAGUGAGUCUCGUGAGACUUUUUGCAUGUACCUUAUGAAUAAGGACCGGCUAAUUCCGUGCCAGCAGCCGCGGU